rnacentral:lncRNA from 10 species
CCUCGCCCUGCCGUGUGAAGCCGCCGCUGGGCGCCUCACCGUGAUGUUGCAGUGGAGCCUGAGCUGCCGCGGCGGCUCCUGGUUCUUGUGGAAAAUAGAGGACAACAACUUCAGCUUGGCCUUGAACCCUGACACGGACAUUUUACUCUCACCUCUGGCGGGAGGGGCGCGGAAGGUGAGCCGGUCGGGAGCCGCUGUCAUGGCCGCGACCACCCGCGGGACCUCUCGGCGGCGCUCUCGCGGCUCCGCCUCUCCCCGCUGCCUCAACUCUAGUCGGAGUAGGGCUGGAAAAUGGCAAGGGGCACCGAGGCCUCUGCGGGGAGCUGUGUGGCGGCCUGGGCGGCUGCUCCCCUUGUAACAGACUCCACCGACAGGAGGCGCUCCUCCUGUCAAGCCACAGCUUAAAAGGACAACAGCACCACCGCCCCCGCUACCGCCUGGGAAAGGGCUGCCCCUACCCCGCUCCCGUCCCUCUCGUCCCUCACCCCUCACCCCUCACCUCUCACCCCCGCGCGCCCGGUGCGCACCCGUUUCGGCGGGUGCACGAGUCCAGAGCAUGUGCGCGCUUCCGGCUGCCCCCUCCUGGCUUUGACCCAGCACUGCUGGACCCAUCUAGUCCGUUCCUCACACUCGCGGACUGGAAGCUCCAGGCUGCACAACCACCAACUGCACCAACCAUGUGCCUAAAGCUAACUGUGUCAAAAAGAGCAUGCUUCGAGGGGCUGGAGUGAGCAAUUCAACUUGUGGAGAAAUAAGAAAUAAUAGUGUUGAGACAAGAAACAUAAAACCGCAGGAACUUUUGGAGAAAGAUUUCUUGGGAGGAAGCUAUCCUGAACGCUUAGAGACUUUUCUCAUUUACUGGCACACCAGCUUUAGAGUCCUAGGUCUUCAUCCUGGCUCAGCCACCCUCCAGCUGUGUGAACUUUGAGAAGUUGCUUGACUACACUGAGUCUCGUUGUCACUAUGAGUGGAGGUUGCUACGUUGCUACUGUGUGGAGCACCUACCCCCAAGCACUCUUAUAAGCUGCAGCAUAUCAUGAGUGAUGAGAUCUGUGUACAGGUGACUGACCUUUACCUGGCAGAAAAUAAUAAUGGGGCCACCGGAGGCCAGCCGAACACACAGAACUCAAGAAGCCUCCUGGAGUCAACGUAUCCACAGAAAGCCAAGCAGCUAAUGUCAGAUGAGAAAUGCUUUAAGGUGAGAGUUGCUCAUGUAGUCAAAGACCUUGCUGGUGACAAUGUAAGUUGUUAGGAUUCUCUGAAUCGGAAGUUAUAGCCAGGGUACUUUGACCCCGUGAUUCUACUCCUGGAACUUUUUAGAGUUCCUAAUG